rnacentral:lncRNA from 1 species
GGUACGAAUAAGGUUUCAUAUUUUUAUGUCACGGUCUCAAACAAUUCAAGAUCUCAUCCAAAAUAUUUUUAUAAAAAUAUAUUAUUUAAAUUUUUUGAUCCAUAUAAAUAUCCAGAUAGUUUAGAUAAAUGCUCAAGAUCUUUCUAUUACAUAAGUAUCACUAUGAGACUAAAUACAUGUCCAUUUGUAUCUUCAUGUAUUCUUUUGUUUAAG